CUUGAUCGAACCCAACCACAACGGCCGGUCCACCGACCGGUCCUGCCCGUACGUGGCCAACAGUGCCUGCGCCUC
rfam:Streptomyces albulus strain NK660, complete genome.